rnacentral:lncRNA from 10 species
AUAUACCCUCCCAUAAGAGCAGGAAAGGGGAUUCAUAAAGACGUUCUUCUGAUGGGGAAUGCUCUACGAGGCCGCCUUCACAUGUGUGGAAGAUGAUCAAAGUAUGACAUUUCUUCUACCCCAGAGGCUGGCAUUUCUGCAGGCACAAAUGAGCUUGGUUUUCAAGCACUGCUCUUUGAACACAAGGAAUUCCUUUAAUGAUCACGCCGGACUAUAUAGACUUUGGAAUCAGACUCUUUGAAUUCCAGCUCUGCCAUUUACCAACUUUGACACUUUGGACAACGUCUCAUUCUGUCACCCAGGCUGGAGUGCAGUGGCACAAUUAUAGCUCACUGCAGCCUCAAACACCUGGGCUCAAGCAAUCCUUCCACCUCUGCCUCCUGAGUAAUUGGGACUACAGGCAUGUGCCACCACACCCAGCUAAUUUUUAAUUUUUAAUUUUUUUGUAGAGAUGGCGGUCUUGCUAUGUCACCCAGGCUGGUCUUGAACACCUGGCCUCAAGUGAUCCUCCGGCCUUGGUCUCUCAAAGCUCUGGGAUUACAGACAUGAGCCACUGCACCCGGCUCUAUCUCCCCUUCCUAUGUGUGUUAGCUCUAGAACAAGAGAAGCCUUGUUGAGAUUCCUGGCUGCCCACCCCCCAUCACCUCUCUGACUUUGGGCAAGUUGCCUGGCCUCUCUCAGCCUUUAUUUUCUUUUUGUGAAAUGGGGAUAAUAAUAGUACUUGCCUCAUAGGCAAAAUGUUGUGAGAACUAAACGAGAAAAUGCAUGUAAAGCACUUGGCACUUAGUUCUUUUUAUGAUUAUAAUGAUAAUCAGACACAAUAAAUUAUGUCUCACAUCACAUGC